UACGUAGGGACCGAGCGUUGUCCGGAAUCACUGGGCGUAAAGGGCGCGUAGGUGGCACGGGUAGUCGUCGGUGAAAGCUCAGGGCUCAACCCUGAGUCGGCCGGUGAUACUCCCGAGCUCGAGUGUGGUAGAGGCCAAUGGAAUUCCGGGUGUAGCGGUGGAAUGCGUAGAGAUCCGGAAGAACACCGGUGGCGAAGGCGGUUGGCUGGGCCACAACUGACACUGAUGCGCGACAGCGUGGGGAGCAAACAGG
rnacentral:rRNA from 1 species